AUCAGUCAAAAGCAGAUAUCGCCCACCCAUGCUCCCCAAGUCCGCUUACCGAGGAAGAACUGGAGCCAGAGCUAGUUGGGUUGGGGUAAAGAGCCGUAAGCGCAGUGGGGGGUGACAGAGGACAUGCUCUUUAUUCGAGGACG